rnacentral:rRNA from 1 species
UACGUAGGGGGCAAGCGUUAAUCGGAAUUACUGGGCGUAAAGCGCGCGUAGGCGGAUCUGCAAGUCGGGGGUGAAAUCCCGAGGCUCAACCUCGGAACUGCCUUCGAUACUGCGGGUCUCGAGUCCGGGAGAGGUGAGUGGAAUUCCUAGUGUAGAGGUGAAAUUCGUAGAUAUUAGGAAGAACACCAGUGGCGAAGGCGGCUCACUGGCCCGGUACUGACGCUGAGGCGCGAAAGCGUGGGGAGCAAACAGG